GCCAGCGGCUUGGUUCUGUUGCUAUAGCAACGCCUGAGGCCUUGUUCUCUCGCCAGGCCGGCCCGGUUUUUACAUAACUGAGUAAUGCAUAACAAACUGCUUUGUCUGGCGGCUUUUAAACACAGAGGUGUUACAAAGAUUUGGAGAGAUUCAUGGAAAAUUUACCAAAAUGACAAACAUGAGAUUCUACAGAUGCUAGGAGUCCAGAGCAACACACAAAAACGCUGGAGAACUCAGCAGACUAGUCAGAAGUCCCAACGCUUCAAUGUCCAGGUCACCAGAUGAUGGAUGUCGUACUCCUGCUAAUAUACUAGGACCCCACUUCCCUUUCUCAUUCUAAUACAUUAGUGCAGGGAUGGGAAACCUGACUGCAAGGAUUUUCUCUGGGUGCUCCAGUUUCCUUCCAUAUUCCAAAGACUUGCAGGUUAGUAAGUUGUGGGCAUGCUGUGUUGGUGCUGGAAGCAUGGUGCCACUGGCAGGCUGCUCCCAGCGCAUCCAGACUGUUGAACAUUGAUGUAAAUGAUGCAUUCACCGUAUGUUUCAUUGUAUAUAUCACAAACAAAGCUAAUGUUUAUCUUUAUAAUUAUGUACUUUUUAAUGAAGUGCUUAUUUGUGUGCAUUCAUUCUAUUUUUUCUUAAUAAAAGUAUAGCAGAGACAGAUUGAAAUAAAUAUUUUAGAAAACCUGUUCAAAAAUUAUUAAUAUUAAUGUUUUAAUUUAUUGUGCCAACCAACUGGUAGGCAUGUUCAAAGACAUGUUCAGUCUCUCAUUGCUACAGUCAGAGAUUCCCACCUGCUUCAAAAGGCCAACAAUCAUACCAGUGCCAAAGAAGAGUAGGAUGAGCUGCCUUAUAACUAUUGUCCAGCAGCACUCACAUCUACAGUGAUGAAGUGCUUUGAGAGUUUAGUUAUGGCUAGAAUCAACUACUGCCUAAGCAAGGACCUGGACCCACAGUAAUUUGCCUGUCACUACAAUAGGUCUACAGCAGAUGCGAUCUCAUUGGCUUUUCAUGGAGCAACAGAUCACCUGAUCAAUACUAAUACUUAUGUCAGACUGCUCUUUAUUGACAAUAACUCAGCAUUUAACACAAUCAGUUCUGAUCAAAAAAUUCCAAAACCUAGGCUGCUGUACCUCCCUCUGCAUCUGAAUCCUCGAUUUCCUCACCGGAACACCACAGUCUGUGUAGAUUAGAAAUAACAUCUACACAUCCCUGAUAAUCAACACUGGUGCACAUCAAGGAUGGUACUUGGCCCACUGCUCUACUCUCUCUACACCCAUGACUUUGUGGCUUGGCACAGUUGAAGUACAAUCUAUAAAUUUGCUGAUGACACAACUAUCAUUAGUAGAAUUUCAGAUGGUGACAAUGAAGCAUACAAGAUAGAUAGAUCAAGAACAAGAUAGAUCAGGUGGUUAAGUGAUGUUGCAACAACAGCCUUGCACUCAACGUCAGUAAUACCAGAGAAUUGAUUGUGGACUUCAGAAACGGUAAAACGAGGGAACACAAACCAAUCCUCAUCAAGGGAUCAGAAGAGGAAAGGGUGAGCAACUUCAAGCUCCUGGGUGUAAACAUCUGUGAGGAUCUAUCCUGAGCCCAACAUAUCAAUGUAGUUACAACGAAGGUAUGAAAGCAGCUGUAUUUCAUUAGGAGUUUGAGGAGAUUUGGUUUGUCACCCAAGGCACUUGCAAAUUUCUACAGAUGUGCUGUGGAGAGCUUUCUAAUUGGCUACAUCACUGUCCAGUAUGGGGUGGGGGAGGGGACCACUGCAUCAGGUCAAAAUAAACUGCAGAUAAUUGUUAUCUGUUAUUUUCACAUCUUCAAGGAAUGAUGUCUGAAAAAGACCUACAUUAGUAACCUGUUCUCGCAUUACAAAGAGGAUUUUUGCUUUCACAAAAAUUUUUCCCAUAUAAGUUAAUGGUUCUUUGCUUUAUGCCAUUUUGGCUGAAGAAAGGUUUCAUAGGAAUGCUCUACCUUUGUAAAAGGGGGGACACCUGUGUGUACGUACAUGCACGUGCGCGCGCGCGCACACACACACACACACACACACACACACUCACUCACUCACUCACUCACUCAC